GCCGGCUUAGCUCAACAGGUAGAGCAGCUCAAAUGUAAUGAGCAGGGAGGGGGUUCGAGUCCUUCAGCUGGCACCA
rnacentral:tRNA from 1 species